rnacentral:rRNA from 1 species
UACAGAGGUCCCAAGCGUUGUUCGGAUUUACUGGGCGUAAAGGGUGCGUAGGUGGUCGGGUAAGUCUCAUGUGAAAUCUCCAAGCUUAACUUGGAAAUGGCAUGGGAUACUAUUCGGCUAGAGGAUUGGAGGGGGGACUGGAAUUCCCGGUGUAGCAGUGAAAUGCGUAGAUAUCGGGAGGAACACCAGUGGCGAAGGCGGCGAUCUGGGUCGAUACUGACGCUGAGGUGCGAAAGCGUGGGGAGCAAACAGG